rnacentral:lncRNA from 1 species
GAGGAGGUAGGGAGUAAAAAGUAAGGAAGAAUGGAAACUUUGAAAGAGAUAAAGGAAUAGGAGGGGUUGCAAGGUGACGGGAGUAACCCGAAAUAGAAGAAAACAUAAUCAUGCUAUUAUGCCUGCUGCUGCAGAACGUCACGAUUUUAAGAUAGGAAAGAAAACCUUAGGAAGCAAAGGAGUUUUUAAUUCCAUGUAGCAACAAAUUGUUUCUCUUUUGUGUCAAGGACACCAAAGACCCAAUGCUGAAUAGAGCCUGAAUUUUUUUGUUCUUUUCUCGGUGAUAAAGGCAUAAAUCCUUUUACCUUCCUACCAGAACAUUUUUUAACAUGGCCGACCAGAGUCAAAGGUGCAAUCUAAGGCCAAGAAACAGCCCCCACCCAGCCCAAAUCCAAGGAACACUCCCUACUCCCAACCCAUUAGUCAUUAACUCAGCAAUUUGUAGACCUAAGCUAAGACCCGCUUCUUUUACCAAAUCUCAGUUUAUACGCUAUAUGGAAGAAGACAUUUUUAGGAGAACAAUAUUGGCAAAAGUCAAUGUUUUAGUCCAGAGUGGUGGUGCACCCCUGUAAUCUCAGCAACUGAGAGGCUGGGGCAGGAGGAUUGUAAAUUCCAGCCUCAGCAAAAUUCUCCAAGCUCUCAACCGUAAGCACCUAGCAAGACCAUCUCAAAACAAAACAAAACAAAACACCACAGCUCAAGGUGUUCCAUGAGCCAAAGUUGUACAUUUGAUGAUCUUUGCUGGUACCAGGGAUUGAACCCAGUAGCGCUUAACCCUUGAACCACUGCCUCAGCCCUUAUUGAGACAGGAUCUAGCUAAAUUGCUUAGGGCCUUGCUAAAUUGCUGAAGCUGAUUUUUAACUUGCCAUCCUCCUACCUGGGCCGGGGAUUACAAUCCGC